UUUGUUUUGACUUAGCUCUUUUUGUAAUGUUGAGAGCGCGUUACAAUGCAGUAAUACGCUCUACAAAUAAUCAGUGACGGGUUAACGAGAGACUGUAAGAGAGUGUGAAUGUGCACUACGUUUCUCAUUCUUUUAUUGUGCUGCUGAUCUCAGAAGGAGCGCGUUGGAUUAUUAAGGUUGAUCAAACAUGCAUCUAAACACUCAUCUCAUGUGUCACCGAUGGUUGGUGUCCACGCUGAGGGGUCACGGAGGUCACUUUAGGAGCUUCAGUGUCUCAGCAUCCAGUAGGACUGUGAUGUCCGCAUGGGUGAUCGACAAAUACGGGAAGAACGACGUGUUGAGGUUCACCAAGAACGCGGCGCUUCCCAUUAUCCAUUAUCCCAAUGAAGUGAUCGUGAAGGUGCACGCUGCGGGAAUUAAUCCCAUUGACAUCAGCAUGAGGGGUGGUUAUGGGGCGGCUACUAUGGCCAUGAUACGUGACCCAUUUAACAUGAACCAGUCAGGCAGUGAGUUUCCAUUAAUCCUGGGGCGUGAUGUAUCCGGAGUCAUCAUGGAAUGUGGCCUGGAUGUUAACUACUUUAAACCAGGAGAUCAGGUGUGGGCCGCUAUUCCUCCAUGGAAGCAGGGAAGUCUGGCGGAGUUUGUAGUACUUAGAGCCAAUGAGGUGUCACACAAGCCCAAAUCGCUGAGUCAUGUUGAAGCGUCAUCAAUUCCAUAUGUGGCUGCGACGGCCUGGUCGUCUGUCGUCAACUGCGGCAGCCUGAACAAAGACAACAGUGCGAAGAAACGUGUGCUUAUCCUCGGAGGAUCUGGAGGUGUGGGAACCUUCACUAUACAGAUGGUAAAGGCCUGGGGCACCCAUGUGACUGUAACAUGUUCGCAGAGUGCCGAGCAGCUGGUGAGAGACUUAGGCGCUGAUGAAGUUGUGGAUUACACCACUGGACCGGUCGAAAAACAACUACAGACUUUACAAAAGUUUGAUUUGAUUUUAGAUAAUAUUGGGGGAGAAACUGAGAAAUGGGCACUGGGUCUUCUGAAACCAUGGAAUGGUGCGAAGUAUGUUACACUAGUAACGCCGUUCCUGCAUAACACAGACCUGCUGGGCCUCGCAGACGGAAUGAUGCAGUCUGGAGUCACCAUAGCAAAGAAAGUGCUAAAGGUAGAAACUUCCAAUCCAUGAGCUGAUGAAGAAACAUCUAGAAUUAGUGGCUGGGUCUUUCUCCAUUCAAGUGGAUAAGAGCUGCACUGGGAUGAUUGGAAAUAGUCUCCCGAGAGCGUUCCAAAGAUGGCCGACAGUGGACUGACUUGCUAGAAAGACUUUGUUAAAGGCCUGUUGUGGAUUUGUUUACAUUCAAAUGUUUUGACAGUGGAGUUUGAAUUAACAAGCAUUCCGUGGGCCCGUUUAAACAUUCCGUCUAUGUAAGUCUGUGGUAUUUUUCGAAGCUGAUUGUCUGCUGUGUGAAGUCCAAUCAGUCCAAAAAGACAUAGCACAUUAUUCCAGAACAGUCUGAAGGUCUGUGCCGAUUUUGGUGGAUGUAGCUUGAAAGCUCUAAGAGGAGUUAUAAUUGAUGAUUUUGAUCUUGGUUUUGGGAUUUUGGAAAAACCCUACAGCCAUGUCUGUAGAAUAAAAGUGUGCUGGCUUUGUCAUGCCAACACGAUUACAGAAACUUUGUUGGUUUUGGUUUAUCUGUUUUUAUUACCAUGAACUUUUCAUGCUUUAAAAAUGUGCUCAGAUAUAUGUGCAGGGUUGGGAGGGUUACUUUUGAAAUGUAUUCCACUACAGAUUACAGAAUACAUGCUGUAAAAUGUAAUUUGUAAUGUAUUCCAUUAGAUUACUCAAGGUCAGUAACGUAUUCUAAAUACCUUGAAUUACUUCUUCAGCACUGGUAGAUUUUUUCAAUUGUUUUGACUAUAAAAACUUUGCCAGUAUAGUAAGACAAAAUACAAGUUAAAAAUACAUUCUCUGAAAAACCUAAAUAUCUCAUGCAGUGUUGUUUCUAAAACAAGAUAAAUCAAAUUGAUCUUGUUUUAAGGAUUUUUUUAGAUAUUUUUACAGGAAAACAACACACAAAUUAUUAUCAAGAAUAAGAUUUUUGCCCUAAUAUCAAAGGUCUUACUAGAAAAAAAUAAAUUAUGAUCCAACGUGAAUUUUCUUGAUAAAAAAAUAUGAUCGUGCCAGGUAACAUGUGCAUGUAAAAUGGCUAGAAAUAGCAUUUUAGCUUAGCGUAAAGCUGACAAUUUACACAAGGUUUAUUUAUAUUUCUUUUGCUCCAAACUUACUUCAAACUUACUUCUCUGUCUGCUCGUAUGAAUGUAACACAUCAUAAGAAAGUUUCACUGCUGUUCAAAUGCAGUUUGGAUCACAUCAUUUAUAUGUAUAAAUGUUUUCCAUCUGAAAGGACUAAAUAUUAAAUGAAACAAAUGACAAUAAAAUGCAAAGUAAUCUCUUCAGUAUUCAAAAUACUUUUUGAAUGUAACUGUAUUCUAAUUACCAAUGAUUUAAAUUGUAACUGUAGUGGAAUACAGUUACUUAUAUUUUGUAUUUUAAAUACGUAAUCCCAUUACAAGUAUUUUGUUACUCCCCAAACCUGUAUAUGUGUGGGUGAAUUAACAACCUGUCUGAAUCAUUUAAGAAUAAAAUAAGUGUUUCUGUUAAAAUGCUGUCUCUCUUAAAAAUCUCAAGAGCCUUCAUGAAAAAGUGAAAGUAGAUGGAGGAGUCGGUGAGAGGGACUUCCCUCUCUACACACAAAAAACAAAUUAUGAGAGGCCAGCACUCAGAAAUGACUUGCUGGAGAGAGUUGAUUUAGCUUUUAUUCAUUCCAAAUGAGUACCAGUAAUAAACUAAAGCUCCUCUGUAGCAGUGCUCAUAUUGUUGCUGAUUCUAGACUACAUGCUGCAUUAACAUAAUACAAUACCAGUCAAACAUUUGAACACACCCGACUAGACUCUUUGUAUGUUUUCAUGAUCAUGAAGACCUUUAGGUCAACAGAUCCAAGGGCUUGUGCUUCGGUGCUUGAAAUGAGCUUUGUAAACAAAUAUGUCUUGUUGCACUGGAUAGUGUAGAAAAAGCAGCCUUUUAUUCUUUUAUACUGUUAUAAAGUGUGAAAAAAAAAAAAAAAAAUAGGAUAAAAAGAAAAAUGCAGGUGUGUCAAUUCACAUUUCAUUUCGCAUCUUUUAUUUAUAACUGACAUUUUUUUUGUUUUGUUUUUUGUUGUACUCUAUAAAUACAUUGUACUGUAUGUAAGGAAAAUAUAUGAAAGCUGUUCCUAGUAAUAGAUACAUGUGGGGGAUUUGAUGACAAUCUGGUUUGCUGUCAGAACGUGGUGUUUGCAGUGGCUUGAGGUUUCAGCAGGAAAUCCACACCCCGUCCCUCUUCCUCAGCUCUCUGACAUUAAACCUACACAAACACCUUUGUGCUUAAUAUCGAUGCUAAUGCUUUCAAAUAAAACCAAAUAAUCAAACAUGCACUCAACUCAUAGUGAACACACAGGGGAUAGUACAGACAGACUCAUUCAUAUUUUGUAUUUGAUUUUCCAAAUUCAGGCUCAUAUCAGUUUCUGACAGCUGCACAAUUGCACUCAUACAGGAAAUACCUGACACAAACACAUAAGCAGUGAUCUUGCAGUAUCAUCUGAUGACCCGCACCUCAGGAAAGGAUUGCACUAUCGCUGGGGGUUUUUUGCUCCUAGUGGUCCUACACUGGAUGACAUCAGCGAAAUGGUUGAUUCUGGAAAGAUCCGUCCUGUGGUGGAGGAAGUGUUCUCUUUUGCUCAGGUGCCUCAGGC